UUGAACGCUGGCGGCAUGCCUUACACAUGCAAGUCGAACGGCAGCACGGGGGCAACCCUGGUGGCGAGUGGCGAACGGGUGAGUAAUACAUCGGAACGUGUCCUGUAGUGGGGGAUAGCCCGGCGAAAGCCGGAUUAAUACCGCAUACGCUCUACGGAGGAAAGGGGGGGAUCUUAGGACCUCUCGCUACAGGGGCGGCCGAUGGCAGAUUAGCUAGUUGGUGGGGUAAAGGCCUACCAAGGCGACGAUCUGUAGCUG
rnacentral:rRNA from 3 species